UGUAGCUCAAUGAUAAAGCACUUGCUUUGCAUGCAUGAGGACCUGGGUUCUAUCCUCAGCA
rnacentral:tRNA from 1 species